UUCUGUUUUUUUUUUUUUUUUUUUUUAUAAUAUUUUUUAUUGCAUUUUUCCAGAUAGAAAUACAAGGUCAGAUAUACAAAGAAAUAACAGAAAAGAGAAAGAAAAAGAAGAAAAUCAUCUUUUCAAAGCAUUUUUCCAUAACCAACCGGACUUCCCCCCGUCCCCCUCACCUUGCGUUCUUUACAAUAAAAUUUUUCAGCAAAUUAUAACCU